AGCUUGAUAGCUCAGUCUGUACAGCGUGAGACUUUUACUCUCAGGGUCAUAGGUUUGAGCCCCAUGUUGGGCAA